rnacentral:miRNA from 1 species
ACCACCAUCCUGGUUUGCCUAGGACUGAGGAGUUUCCUAGGUUGUGGGACUUUCACUGCUAACACCAGG